rnacentral:rRNA from 1 species
CCUACGGGAGGCAGCAGUGAGGAAUAUUGGUCAAUGGGCGCGAGCCUGACCCAGCCAAGUAGCGUGAAGGAUGACUGCCCUACGGGUUGUAAACUUCUUUUAUAAAGGAAUAAAGUGAGGCACGUGUGCCUUUUUGUAUGUACUUUAUGAAUAAGGAUCGGCUAACUCCGUGCCAGCAGCCGCGGUAAUACGGAGGUUCCGAGCGUUAUCCGGAUUUAUUGGGUGUAAAGGGAGCGUAGAUGGGUUGUUAAGUCAGUAGUGAAAGUUUGCGGCUCAACCGUAAAAUUGCAAUUGAUACUGGCAGUCUUGAGUGCAGUUGAGGUAGGCGGAAUUCGUGGUGUAGCGGUGAAAUGCUUAGAUAUCACGAAGAACUCCAGUUGCGAAGGCAGCUUACUAAACUGCCACUGACAUUGAUGCUCGAAAGUGUGGGUAGCAAACAGGAUUAGAUACCCGAGUAGUC